CAUAUUCACUGUUUAGAAUGUCAUAGGUGGACUAGAAACUGAAUGAAUGAGUGAGUGAGUGAGUAAAUGAAUGAAUAGAUUUAGCAGUUGUCUCAUGGCCUUAUUUUACAGAGAGCAAGGAAACUACGGCCGAGAGAACCCAGGUCCUGUGACUUGCGCCUUCUAUUUCAUCAUGCUUCCUUUUUCAGGAAAGGGAAGAGGAAGUUUGAGAGGGGUGGGAAGGGACUUUCUAUUUCCCGAGUUUUCUUAUUGCUAGGCUCUUUACAUUUACAGACUUGAUCUCAUUUCUUGAUCUCAUUUAAUCCUCUUCACAUCCCUGUGAGACUGGAAUUGCCAUCUCUGCUUAGCAUCAGGGACCUAAGGGUCGGAGAGAUUAGGUAACUUGCUCAGGUCACACAGCUGGUAAAUGGACACCCCAGUGUUCAAAGCCAGAUUUGUCUGACCCCAAAGUCUAAGAACCCAGAGGUAAACAGUGAUACCCAGUGAGUAGUCUGGAGGCCGAGGAGAGUGAUCACUGACCAGAAGAGGCUUCCUGCAUGAAGUGGAUCUGGAGUCCCUGAGGAUGAGAGAGGUUCAUUCAAAGCGAAAGGACUGGAGGGAUGGCUGAAGACUGAUGCUAGAGGGUGGACCCAUGGGGCCUGCAGUCACUCUGGCCGACCCUUCGACCCUCAAGAACCUCCAUCAGCGCCAGGGAGCCUGGGCCCGGAACUGCCUCUCUGCCCCAGCAGCACCCUCUUGGUGCCCUUCCCUCCCCUUCCUGUGCCCCAAUUUCCAGAGGGUCUGAACACACUGACCCCCAAAGAGAAGCCCUGCAGAGCAGA
ensembl:lncRNA